AUGGCUCCUACCGAGGCUGAGGCUGCUGUAGAGGAGGAAGAAGAGAAGAAGAAGAAGAAGAAGAGGGAAAGGAAAGCAGCCGGAGCUGCUUUCACAUGGAUUCAAACUCACUUUGCGACGUGCCCUCCAGAUGCCACUGAUGAUGUGAUCCAGACACAUGCUCGUGUCUACAUGUGGUAUGUUGUGUCGAGGACUUUGUUUCCUGACUCCACUGGCAAGAACGCUCCAUGGAUGUGGCUGAAGGCGUUGACCGUCUUCGAUAGCAAAUGGAGCUGGGGUUCAGCGACUCUUGCCUACUUGUACCGUCUGUUUUGUGAUCAACUCAUUUCUUCAUUAGCAAUGCAAGCUUGCUAUCAAGUUAACAUUGUUUUUCUUUCAUAUGCAGCUGGACGGUGUGUGUUGCAGGAUCACAGAUAG
rnacentral:rRNA from 1 species